CCAGCUCCGCCCCGGACCUGAGCCCUGAGCCAGCGCUGCUCAGGGUCUCGCUCUCCAAAAACCCCUUUUUGGAGCGGGGUCUCGCUACAGGGCUCUGCACGGCCACAACUUUGGCUCCUGGGAAAUGGACUCGCCUCCUCCUCCAGCAAGAAGAAGCUCGCACAGCGCCAACUGCAGCCUGGGGAACAGCAGGGCCCUGACCCAGGAGAUGGACCAGCUUCCCAGAGCUGUCUCCAAGCUCAUGGGCGGGAAACAGCAGCCACUGAUUUCCUGUGGUUGGCAGUGAGGAGGCUGAGAGCCUCCCUUCAGUUUUGUGGCAGAGGUUAUGUGAGGAUUAUUGUGAUCAUGGACAUGAAGGGGUCAGGGAGGGCAGGGGAGGGUGGGGAUUACAGAGUCAGAAUGUAGGUGAGAAGUCAACUCCAGAGGUCUUCUACAUCACCCUUGUGCUCAGAACAGAUCCCAUUCGAUCAUGUUGCUUGAAGUCACAUUCAGUCCAUUCUUGAACACAUUUCAGGAUGGAAAAUGCAUAGACUCCUGGGCAUAUUUACUCUGUCCUCUGCACAUGCUUUUCUUCAUUGGCCUUAGUAACAGAGAAAAGGUGGGGGGCAAGUUUGGUUAAGCAGCAGGUGAAAAUCCAUCUUCCAGACAGCAGUUAUUGUUCCUAGGUCAGAGAGACCCAUAUAACACCAUUCCUUUUAGGAGGUGGGGGCAAGUUUCGUGGAGGCAGCAGGUGAAGUCCACACAGCAACUAUUGUUACCAGUAGUCCCCAGGUCAGAGAGACCUGUGCAACACAAUUCUUCUCCUCAGGCUUUUCUCCAAGUCAUUCUCGAAUUCUUUCUAUCAGGGCAUCUGUCCCUGAUCGCAAUGUUCAGGCAAAUACUGUUCCUCGGACCAACUCUUACACACUGCUACAAUCCUGCCCUAGAAAUCCUUGGGCCUUUCAUCCCAGGGAUUAUAAGAAACCUUCAUUGGGGAAUGGGCAUGGAACAAACCUGGAAAUGAAAAGGCAGCAGUCUUGGAAACUAAAGCACAGUCCAUCUCAUUAGCUGUGAUGGUUUGCAUUCAAGAUGAGCUUGCCAGAAAAUUGUUACCUCUACCAAGGGUGCCUCUGGUCCUGCAGCAAUGAAGAGCAGAUAUAAAAGGCAGUCCAAGUCUCUGCUCUUUCAUCCACUUCUCUUACAUCCUUAUGACUGGGAACCAGCUUCAUCUCCACCCUCAAGACAUGUCCUGCUACAACAGAGUGCCUGCCCUGCCGGCCCUGUGGCCCCACCCCACUGGUCAACAGCUGCAAUGAGCCCUGUGUCAGGCAGUGCCAGGACUCUACCAUCAUCAUUGAGCCUCCUGCUGUGGUGGUGACCCUGCCUGGCCCCAUCCUCCGCUCCUUCCCUCAGAACACUGUUGUGGGCUCCUCCACCUCUGCUGCUGUUGGCAGAAUCCUCAGCUGUGAUGGAGUGCCCAUCAACUCUGGCUGCUGUGACCUCUCUGGCAUUUCCAGCCGCUACUUUGGCAGAAGGUACCUGCACUAAUAAAUUUGCCAGCAAAGCCCCAGGGAGACACCUUGAGGAACUCAAAACAUGGUGUUGGACAAAGGAUCUAGAUUUUGGUUACAUUUUCAGUACAGCUGGAUGGCUUUGCAUUUCUUUCCUUUUUCUUUUGAUUGCUUUGGUUCCCCUUGGCAACGAGUCUCUCCCAGGGUCAUUCUGGUGGGAAUCAUCUGUCUCAUCUCCCUGUAUUGAGAAGGCAGAUGAACAUCAUGCACAAACUUCUUCACGACCACAGACUGCAGACUUUUGGGUUCCUUUGGGGAUUCCUGCACUGCUGUCCUCCACUUGGAGGGACUUUGUUUGCCUCUUCUGGCUCAUUAAAGUUCUGCUGCAUUCAA